rnacentral:rRNA from 1 species
GGAGGCAGCAGUGGGGAAUAUUGGACAAUGGGCGAAAGCCUGAUCCAGCCAUGCCGCGUGUGUGAAGAAGGUCUUCGGAUUGUAAAGCACUUUAAGUUGGGAGGAAGGGCAGUAAAUUAAUACUUUGCUGUUUUGACGUUAUCGACAGAAUAAGCACCGGCUAACUCUGUGCCAGCAGCCGCGGUAAUACAGAGGGUGCAAGCGUUAAUCGGAAUUACUGGGCGUAAAGCGCGCGUAGGUGGUUUGUUAAGUUGGAUGUGAAAGCCCCGGGCUCAACCUGGGAACUGCAUUCAAAACUGACAAGCUAGAGUAUGGUAGAGGGUGGUGGAAUUUCCUGUGUAGCGGUGAAAUGCGUAGAUAUAGGAAGGAACACCAGUGGCGAAGGCGACCACCUGGACUGAUACUGACACUGANGUGCGAAAGCGUGGGGAGCAAACAGGAUUAGAUACCCUGGU